AGAAAAGUAAGCUAAGUUUAAGCUCCUGGGUUCAUACCCCAUAUAUAGAGGCUCCCCUCUCUUUUCUA
rnacentral:tRNA from 1 species